rnacentral:rRNA from 1 species
GUGAAGAGGGAAACAACCCAGACCGCCAGCUAAGGUCCCAAAGUCAUGGUUAAGUGGGAAACGAUGUGGGAAGGCCCAGACAGCCAGGAUGUUGGCUUAGAAGCAGCCAUCAUUUAAAGAAAGCGUAAUAGCUCACUGGUCGAGUCGGCCUGCGCGGAAGAUGUAACGGGGCUAAACCAUGCACCGAAGCUGCGGCAGCGACGCUGAUGCGUUGUUGGGUAGGGGAGCGUUCUGUAAGCCUGUGAAGGUGUGCUGUGAGGCAUGCUGGAGGUAUCAGAAGUGCGAAUGCUGACAUAAGUAACGAUAAAGCGGGUGAAAAGCCCGCUCGCCGGAAGACCAAGGGUUCCUGUCCAACGUUAAUCGGGGCAGGGUGAGUCGACCCCUAAGGCGAGGCCGAAAGGCGUAGUCGAUGGGAAACAGGUUAAUAUUCCUGUACUUGGUGUUACUGCGAAGGGGGGACGGAGAAGGCUAUGUUGGCCGGGCGACGGUUGUCCCGGUUUAAGCGUGUAGGCUGGUUUUCCAGGCAAAUCCGGAAAACUAAGGCUGAGGCGUGAUGACGAGGCACUACGGUGCUGAAGCAACAAAUGCCCUGCUUCCAGGAAAAGCCUCUAAGCAUCAGGUAACAUCAAAUCGUACCCCAAACCGACACAGGUGGUCAGGUAGAGAAUACCAAGGCGCUUGAGAGAACUCGGGUGAAGGAACUAGGCAAAAUGGUGCCGUAACUUCGGGAGAAGGCACGCUGAUAUGUAGGUGAAGUCCCUCGCGGAUGGAGCUGAAAUCAGUCGAAGAUACCAGCUGGCUGCAACUGUUUAUUAAAAACACAGCACUGUGCAAACACGAAAGUGGACGUAUACGGUGUGACGCCUGCCCGGUGCCGGAAGGUUAAUUGAUGGGGUCAGCGCAAGCGAAGCUCUUGAUCGAAGCCCCGGUAAACGGCGGCCGUAACUAUAACGGUCCUAAGGUAGCGAAAUUCCUUGUCGGGUAAGUUCCGACCUGCACGAAUGGCGUAAUGAUGGCCAGGCUGUCUCCACCCGAGACUCAGUGAAAUUGAACUCGCUGUGAAGAUGCAGUGUACCCGCGGCAAGACGGAAAGACCCCGUGAACCUUUACUAUAGCUUGACACUGAACAUUGAGCCUUGAUGUGUAGGAUAGGUGGGAGGCUUUGAAGUGUGGACGCCAGUCUGCAUGGAGCCGACCUUGAAAUACCACCCUUUAAUGUUUGAUGUUCUAACGUUGACCCGUAAUCCGGGUUGCGGACAGUGUCUGGUGGGUAGUUUGACUGGGGCGGUCUCCUCCUAAAGAGUAACGGAGGAGCACGAAGGUUGGCUAAUCCUGGUCGGACAUCAGGAGGUUAGUGCAAUGGCAUAAGCCAGCUUGACUGCGAGCGUGACGGCGCGAGCAGGUGCGAAAGCAGGUCAUAGUGAUCCGGUGGUUCUGAAUGGAAGGGCCAUCGCUCAACGGAUAAAAGGUACUCCGGGGAUAACAGGCUGAUACCGCCCAAGAGUUCAUAUCGACGGCGGUGUUUGGCACCUCGAUGUCGGCUCAUCACAUCCUGGGGCUGAAGUAGGUCCCAAGGGUAUGGCUGUUCGCCAUUUAAAGUGGUACGCGAGCUGGGUUUAGAACGUCGUGAGACAGUUCGGUCCCUAUCUGCCGUGGGCGCUGGAGAACUGAGGGGGGCUGCUCCUAGUACGAGAGGACCGGAGUGGACGCAUCACUGGUGUUCGGGUUGUCAUGCCAAUGGCACUGCCCGGUAGCUAAAUGCGGAAGAGAUAAGUGCUGAAAGCAUCUAAGCACGAAACUUGCCCCGAGAUGAGUUCUCCCUGACUCCUUGAGAGUCCUGAAGGAACGUUGAAG